UGCAAGUCGAACGAACUCUGGUAUUGAUUGGUGCUUGCAUCAUGAUUUACAUUUGAGUGAGUGGCGAACUGGUGAGUAACACGUGGGAAACCUGCCCAGAAGCGGGGGAUAACACCUGGAAACAGAUGCUAAUACCGCAUAACAACUUGGACCGCAUGGUCCGAGCUUGAAAGAUGGCUUCGGCUAUCACUUUUGGAUGGUCCCGCGGCGUAUUAGCUAGAUGGUGGGGUAACGGCUCACCAUGGCAAUGAUACGUAGCCGACCUGAGAGGGUAAUCGGCCACAUUGGGACUGAGACACGGCCCAAACUCCUACGGGAGGCAGCAGUAGGGAAUCUUCCACAAUGGACGAAAGUCUGAUGGAGCAACGCCGCGUGAGUGAAGAAGGGUUUCGGCUCGUAAAACUCUGUUGUUAAAGAAGAACAUAUCUGAGAGUAACUGUUCAGGUAUUGACGGUAUUUAACCAGAAAGCCACGGCUAACUACGUGCCAGCAGCCGCGGUAAUACGUAGGUGGCAAGCGUUGUCCGGAUUUAUUGGGCGUAAAGCGAGCGCAGGCGGUUUUUUAAGUCUGAUGUGAAAGCCUUCGGCUCAACCGAAGAAGUGCAUCGGAAACUGAGAAACUUGAGUGCAGAAGAGGACAGUGGAACUCCAUGUGUAGCGGUGAAAUGCGUAGAUAUAUGGAAGAACACCAGUGGCGAAGGCGGCUGUCUGGUCUGUAACUGACGCUGAGGCUCGAAAGUAUGGGUAGCAAACAGGAUUAGAUACCCUGGUAGUCCAUACCGUAAACGAUGAAUGCUAAGUGUUGGAGGGUUUCCGCCCUUCAGUGCUGCAGCUAACGCAUUAAGCAUUCCGCCUGGGGAGUACGGCCGCAAGGCUGAAACUCAAAGGAAUUGACGGGGGCCCGCACAAGCGGUGGAGCAUGUGGUUUAAUUCGAAGCUACGCGAAGAACCUUACCAGGUCUUGACAUACUAUGCAAAUCUAAGAGAUUAGACGUUCCCUUCGGGGACAUGGAUACAGGUGGUGCAUGGUUGUCGUCAGCUCGUGUCGUGAGAUGUUGGGUUAAGUCCCGCAACGAGCGCAACCCUUAUUAUCAGUUGCCAGCAUUAAGUUGGGCACUCUGGUGAGACUGCCGGUGACAAACCGGAGGAAGGUGGGGAUGACGUCAAAUCAUCAUGCCCCUUAUGACCUGGGCUACACACGUGCUACAAUGGAUGGUACAACGAGUUGCGAACUCGCGAGAGUAAGCUAAUCUCUUAAAGCCAUUCUCAGUUCGGAUUGUAGGCUGCAACUCGCCUACAUGAAGUCGGAAUCGCUAGUAAUCGCGGAUCAGCAUGCCGCGGUGAAUACGUUCCCGGGCCUUGUACACACCGCCCGUCACACCAUGAGAGUUUGUAACACCCAAAGUCGGUGGGGUAACCUUUUAGGAACCAGCCGCCUAA
rnacentral:rRNA from 1 species